UACGUAGGGGGCAAGCGUUGUCCGGAAUCAUUGGGCGUAAAGCGCGUGUAGGCGGCUUGGUAAGUCCGCUGUGAAAGUCGGGGGCUCAACCCUCGGAUGCCGGUGGAUACUGUCGGGCUCGAGUACGGAAGAGGCGAGUGGAAUUCCUGGUGUAGCGGUGAAAUGCGCAGAUAUCAGGAGGAACAUCAAUUGCGAAGGCAGCUCGCUGGGACGUAACUGACGCUGAGACGCGAAAGCGUGGGGAGCAAACAGG
rnacentral:rRNA from 1 species